rnacentral:sRNA from 1 species
UCCGAAACUACCGCUACUAUGCCUCC